rnacentral:rRNA from 1 species
GACGAACGCUGGCGGCGUGCUUAACACAUGCAAGUCGAACGGAAAGGCCCUGCCUUUGUGGGGUGCUCGAGUGGCGAACGGGUGAGUAACACGUGAGUAACCUGCCCUUGACUUUGGGAUAACUUCGGGAAACUGGGGCUAAUACCGGAUAGGAGCACCUGCUGCAUGGCGGGGGUUGGAAAGUUUCGGCGGUGGGGGAUGGACGCGCGGCAUAUCAGCGUGGUGGUGGGGUAGUGGCUUAACAAGGCUUUGACGGGUAGCCGGCCUGAGAGGGUGACCGGCCACAUUGGGACUGAUAUACGGCCCAGACUCCUACGGGAGACAGAAGUGGGGAAUAGUGCACAGUGGGCGGGAGCCUUAUGCAGCAACGCCGCGGGCGGGAUGACGGCCUGCGUUUUGUAAACCGCUUGCGCCGGUGACGAAGCGUGAGUGACGGUAAUUGGUAAAGAAGCACCGGCUAACUACGUG